GAUGAAGAACGCAGCGAAAUGCGAUAACUAAUGUGAAUUGCAGAAUUCCGUGAAUCAUUGAGUCUUUGAACGCACAUUGCACCCUCUGGUAUUCCGGGGGGCAUGCCUGUCCGAGCGUCAUUACAACCCUCAAGCUCAGCUUGGUAUUGGGCCCCGCCGCUUCGGCGGGCCCUAAAGUCAGUGGCGGUGCCGUCCGGCUCCGAGCGUAGUAAUUCUUCUCGCUCUGGAGGCCCGGUCGUGUGCUUGCCAGCAACCCCCAAUUUUUUUCAGGUUGACCUCGGAUCAGGUAGGGAUACCCGCUGAACUUAAGCAUAUCAAUAAGCGGAGGA
rnacentral:misc_RNA from 1 species